GCUCCGCUGGUGAACCAGCGGAGGGAUCAUUACAGGACUCCCAAGCCUCCUACAAUUUUUUGAAGUUAACGAUAAGCACGUUGCUUCCGCGCGUGUCUCGGAGGGGGCUCCCGCACCCCUAGACGCUAAACCCGCUGGCAUCUUACUAUAUACUUUUUCUUUGCGUUAGCACUUUGAGCACAGUCAAACAUGGUAAAACCUUCAACAACGGAUGCCGUGGAUCUGGCAUCGACGAAGAAGGCAUCAGGUCGGAAUCACACACGUCUGAUGCCCAGUCCC
rnacentral:misc_RNA from 1 species